AUUGAACGCUGGCGGCAUGCCUUACACAUGCAAGUCGAACGGUAACAGGUCUUCGGAUGCUGACGAGUGGCGAACGGGUGAGUAAUACAUCGGAACGUGCCCGAGAGUGGGGGAUAACGAGGCGAAAGCUUUGCUAAUACCGCAUACGAUCUCAGGAUGAAAGCAGGGGACCGCAAGGCCUUGCGCUCACGGAGCGGCCGAUGGCAGAUUAGGUAGUUGGUGGGAUAAAAGCUUACCAAGCCGACGAUCUGUAGCUGGUCUGAGAGGACGAACAGUCACAAUGGGACUGAGGAACGGCCCAGAGUCCUACGGGAGGCAGAAAUGGGGAAUUUUGGGCAAUGGGGGCAACCCUGAUCUAGCCAUGCCGCGUGCAGGAUGACGGUCCUAUGGAUUGUAAACUGCUUUUGUACGGAGCGAAACGGCGAGCUCUAAUACAGUUUGCUAAUGACGGUACCGUAAGAAUAAGCACCGGCUAACUACGUGCCAGCAGCCGCCGUAAGAC
rnacentral:rRNA from 1 species